AUUGAACGCUGGCGGCAUGCUUUACACAUGCCAGUCGAACGGCAGCGCGGGCUUCGGCCUGGCGGCGAGUGGCGAACGGGUGAGUAAUGCAUCGGAACGUGACCAGUAGUGGGGGAUAGCCCGGCGAAAGCCGGAUUAAUACCGCAUACGACCUGAGGGUGAAAGCGGGGGACCGAAAGGCCUCGCGCUAUUGGAGCGGCCGAUGUCGGAUUAGCUAGUUGGUGGGGUAAAGGCUUACCAAGGCGACGAUCCGUAGCUGGUCUGAGAGGACGACCAGCCACACUGGGACUGAGACACGGCCCAGACUCCUACGGGAGGCAGCAGUGGGGAAUUUUGGACAAUGGGGGCAACCCUGAUCCAGCCAUGCCGCGUGCGGGAAGAAGGCCUUCGGGUUGUAAACCGCUUUUGUUCGGGAAGAAAUCCUCUGGGCUAAUACCCCGGGGGGAUGACGGUACCGGAAGAAUAAGCACCGGCUAACUACGUG
rnacentral:rRNA from 1 species